rnacentral:rRNA from 1 species
UACGAAGGUGGCAAGCGUUGUUCGGAUUUACUGGGCGUAAAGGGCGCGUAGGCGGAUCUGCAAGUCAGAGGUGAAAGCCCUGGGCUCAACCCGGGAAUGGCCUUGAGACUGCAAGUCUUGAGUGCGAGAGAGGGUGGCGGAAUACCCAGUGUAGAGGUGAAAUUCGUAGAUAUUGGGUAGAACACAGGUGGCGAAGGCGGCCACCUGGCUCGCAACUGACGCUGAGGCGCGAAAGCGUGGGGAGCAAACAGG